rnacentral:rRNA from 1 species
GCGAGCGGCGGAUGGGUGAGUAACACGUGGGGAACCUGCCCCUAAGUCUGGGAUACCAUUUGGAAACAGGUGCUAAUACCGGAUAAUAAAGCAGAUCGCAUGAUCAGCUUUUGAAAGGCGGCGUAAGCUGUCGCUAAGGGAUGGCCCCGCGGUGCAUUAGCUAGUUGGUAAGGUAACGGCUUACCAAGGCGACGAUGCAUAGCCGAGUUGAGAGACUGAUCGGCCACAUUGGGACUGAGACACGGCCCAAACUCCUACGGGAGGCAGCAGUAGGGAAUCUUCCACAAUGGACGCAAGUCUGAUGGAGCAACGCCGCGUGAGUGAAGAAGGUUUUCGGAUCGUAAAGCUCUGUUGUUGGUGAAGAAGGAUAGAGGUAGUAACUGGCCUUUAUUUGACGGUAAUCAACCAGAAAGUCACGGCUAACUACGUGCCAGCAGCCGCGGUAAUACGUAGGUGGCAAGCGUUGUCCGGAUUUAUUGGGCGUAAAGCGAGCGCAGGCGGAAAAAUAAGUCUAAUGUGAAAGCCCUCGGCUUAACCGAGGAACUGCAUCGGAAACUGUUUUUCUUGAGUGCAGAAGAGGAGAGUGGAACUCCAUGUGUAGCGGUGGAAUGCGUAGAUAUAUGGAAGAACACCAGUGGCGAAGGCGGCUCUCUGGUCUGCAACUGACGCUGAGGCUCGAAAAGCAUGGGUAGCG